AUGCAUAGCUUUAUUACUUAUGAAUUUAGUCACGAACAAUUUAUUUUCAUUGAGUCUUCAACCGUGGAUAUAUAUUGAACAAGUCAACUGAAAGAGGUAUUGAACAAGUCAAUUGAAAGACCAACGACGAAAUGAAUUCUUUGAAGUGCAUCAUGCUUUUUCUGGCAUUUGUUCAAUUGUCGAAAACCUCACCUGUUAUUUUCUGGGAAGACUUCGAAAAACGAGAUAAAACAAAUGCAUCAUGCCGUUGUUCAAAUGGAAAAACUGGUACUUUUCGGUAUGCUCAAUGCUUCAAUGGGGAGAAACGCUGUAAUGCCGAUGUAGUCACUUUCUUUGUAUGCUGCAUUGGACAAUAACUGUACUGUAAACGAUUCAGGAAAUUGAACUAAAACUGAAAAUGAAUGUCAUUUGCUAAUUGAAUGUUAAAUCAUAUCAUAUUGUUAUAUUUGGAUUCUAAAAUGUUCUUUAACUAUGAAGUUUGCCUUAAAAAUGAAAAAUGCUAAGAGCUCA